UACAGAGGGUGCAAGCGUUAAUCGGAAUUACUGGGCGUAAAGGGCGCGUAGGUGGUUUGUUAAGUGAGAUGUGAAAUCCCUGGGCUUAACCUAGGAACUGCAUCUUAAACUGGCGAACUGGAGUAUUGUAGAGGGUAGUGGAAUUUCCGGUGUAGCGGUGAAAUGCGUAGAUAUCGGAAGGAACACCAGUGGCGAAGGCGGCUACCUGGACAAAUACUGACACUGAGGCGCGAAAGCGUGGGGAGCAAACAGG
rnacentral:rRNA from 1 species